rnacentral:lncRNA from 1 species
CUAAAGAGUAAAUGCUUCACUUCUCAGUUAUUAACCUCGUCUCGUCUUCGCUCUUCCGGCGGCCGACCCAACUUGCCGACGGCGAUCUUAGUUAUCCAGUUGCUGCCCUGCUGGUCAUCGUUUUGUCCACACUCAGGGAGUUAUGGUGAGUAUAUUUUCUAUACCUAUUUCUCCCUUUGUUUCUUACGCCUCCUGCCCACUUCCCCUUUGUAUUAAAUUCUUGUAGAUUGGGAUUCUUUUGUUUCUGAUUCGCGACGAGCUCUGUCUGAUGCUCGUAUGACUCAAGCUCAUCAAAAAAAUCGUGCAUAGAAACCUGACUUCGUUGAGAUUUUUGUUGAUAUCCAACAAGGCAGCAACGACAAGUUAACAUCCUUGACUCACACCUUGUAUUUUCUAUUUUUUUGGGAUUUAUAAGUAGAUUUAAAAUCAGCUUUAGAUUAAAAAAAAGGUCUUGUUAUAAUCUAUAGAGUAUCAAAUGUUCAUCAGUUUUAGCUACUUCAUGUAAAAUAGCCACUGUUGCAUGACCUAACAUGAGUUUCAAAUGAAACCAACUCUUAUCCACGAUUUGCUUUCUCUCACAUUGUCUAGCUUACAACUACGGGAUCUUCGUUUCUGUUUACACUUACUUUGCUGUCAAUUGCUACCAUCUAUGUAUAUUCCAUUUAUCUAUGUAUUUUGGGGACUUCAUCCUCUGCAUUAAUAUUUCAUCCUCUGCAGUUCACGUGGAGGUUAAUGAUUUUUCACAUUGUGACCAUACUUAUGGGAUAAAAAGAUUUAUGGCAACAUCAAAGGAGAGGUGGAUUGACAAUCUGCAGUUUUCCUCAUAGUUUUGGCCACCUCCACAAGAUGCCGGGCAACGGAAGGUGUGGUUUUUAUGUCUUACACAUUUCUUAAGUUUGCAUUCACCUCAAUAUAUUUUCUCUGAUGGUACUGAAUCAUGUAGUUUCCCUUUGAUUGUGUGCAGCAUAUUUUAGUUGCUGAUUAGGUCCAUGGUGCAUGACUUUAAUUUUUUUUAUGUUUGAGCAGGUUUGUGUUUUAUUAAAUAGCCUCCUUGUAAUUUAGUACAUAUAAAAAUGUGCCUUACCAGUGCUGAAGGUUUUCACUGCUAUUUGUUAUGGGAAGGGUCUCGUGUGCCCAGCAUUGAAGUUUUAGGCGUUUGUUUCUGUGUUCUGGACCACCGAUUUCCAUCUUACAUUGAGCUCCUGACUCCCAAAAGAAGAUUUUGUGAAGUUGAGCACUUGCGCUUAUAUAAUUUUGAUUGGUUAAUGUCUGUCCAUUUGUUACUUGCUCCAGAUUCAAAAUUUGUAUUUUUUGCUAUAACUACUUUUGAUUUCAAG